rnacentral:rRNA from 1 species
UUUGAUGGUCACUCCCUUUUGGAUAACUGUGGUAAUUCUAGAGCUAAUACAUGCGCCUAGACCCGACUUCUUGGAAGGGUUGUGUUUAUUAGAUACAGAACCAACCCAGGCCCUGCCUGGUACUUUGGUGAUUCAUAAUAACCUAACGAAUCGCAUGGCGACAGCCGGCGAUAGAUCAUUCAAGUUUCUGACCUAUCAGCUUCCGACGGUAGGGUAUUGGCCUACCGUGGCAAUGACGGGUAACGGAGAAUUAGGGUUCGAUUCCGGAGAGGGAGCCUGAGAAACGGCUACCACA